UACGGAGGGUGCAAGCGUUGUUCGGAUUUAUUGGGCGUAAAGGGCGUGUAGGCGGUUUCAUAAGUCUGAUGUGAAAGCCCCGGGCUCAACCUGGGAAGUGCAUUGGAAACUGUGAGACUUGAGUACGGGAGAGGGCAGUGGAAUUCCCAGUGUAGGAGUGAAAUCCGUAGAUAUUGGGAGGAACACCGGUGGCGAAGGCGGCUGCCUGGACCGAUACUGACGCUGAGACGCGAAAGCGUGGGGAG
rnacentral:rRNA from 1 species